rnacentral:rRNA from 1 species
CACGUAGGGCGCAAGCGUUGUCCGGAUUCAUUGGGCGUAAAGAGCUCGUAGGCGGCUUGGCAAGUCGGAUGUGAAAACUCCAGGCUCAACCUGGAGCCGCCAUUCGAUACUGCUAUGGCUAGAGUCCGGUAGGGGAGUGUGGAAUUCCCGGUGUAGCGGUGAAAUGCGCAGAUAUCGGGAGGAACACCGAUGGCGAAGGCAGCACUCUGGGCCGGUACUGACGCUGAGGAGCGAAAGCGUGGGGAGCGAACAGG